rnacentral:rRNA from 1 species
AUGAUGACGCGCGUGCGAGCGUGCGGCGCGGAGCACGGAUCUCCUCGCUGCCGCUGCCGAGUUACCUGCUCCCAGCGAUGCCCUCUUGUCUCAUCCGUGCAGGUUGCCACCGGGAAGAGGUGUGAUGGCGGCCAAGAAGAGAACAAUGGGACACUGAAGUCCCUUGGAUGUCCGUGUUUAUCACAGGAAAUCAUCAUAAAUGAAAACAAAAGAUUUCAUAAGAAGGCAUACCAUGAUUUGGUGGAGAAGACGAAGGCUUUGUGUGGAAAAUUAGCUAGCUUUGGCAGGUUUGUUAGGCUAAUAUAA